rnacentral:rRNA from 1 species
CCUACGGGAGGCAGCAGUGGGGAAUUUUGGACAAUGGACGCAAGUCUGAUCCAGCCAUGCCGCGUGCGGGAAGAAGGCCUUCGGGUUGUAAACCGCUUUUGUCAGGGAAGAAACGGGUUUCUCUAAUACAGAGACCUAAUGACGGUACCUGAAGAAUAAGCACCGGCUAACUACGUGCCAGCAGCCGCGGUAAUACGUAGGGUGCAAGCGUUAAUCGGAAUUACUGGGCGUAAAGCGUGCGCAGGCGGUUAUGCAAGACAGAUGUGAAAUCCCCGGGCUCAACCUGGGAACUGCAUUUGUGACUGCAUGGCUAGAGUACGGUAGAGGGGGGAUGGAAUUCCGCGUGUAGCAGUGAAAUGCGUAGAUAUGCGGAGGAACACCGAUGGCGAAGGCAAUCCCCUGGACCUGUACUGACGCUCAUGCACGAAAGCGUGGGGAGCAAACAGGAUUAGAUACCCUGGUAGUCCACGCCCUAAACGAUGUCAACUGGUUGUUGGGAGGGUUUCUCUCAGUAACGAAGCUAACGCGUGAAGUUGACCGCCUGGGGNGCGGCGCGAGUUAGAGUANANAGAGUUGNGNGNGAGAGNGCGAGGACGACGACGAGGGAGGAGG